GUGUCGGUAGUGCAAUUAAAUGAGCACAUGCCCUCGGAUAGGGUGCGGUGCGGGUUCAAAUCCCGCCUGAGGUG